CUAGGGUUUCGGAAAAAAAUUACCGCCGGAGCAUCCAGAUUUUUGCUACGCUUUUUUGAAUUUGUUAUUUGGUUAAUGUAGUUCCUGAUGAGCAGAGCUGAUUUGGUCUGGGUGCACAAAGAGCAACCUGAGUGUUUUUUGAUAAACUGCAGGCUGCAGCAACCUGAGGUUUUUUGAUAAACUGUAGCAACCUAUUGUUUGUUUGAUAAACUGUAGCAACCUGAGGUUAGUUCUUUUUCUUCCUCCUUUAUUUGGUGGAUAUAUGAUGGCUUGUGGGAGAUCUGCUUUUGGUUGUUGCAUUUGGGAGUUUUGAACAACAUUUGAUGAUUUGUUCUAAAAAUGCACACCAUGUGUUUGAUGUUUUGUUCUAUAAGCUUUGUAGUAGCCUAGUGGAGCUAGUGUGCCUAUCUUAUGCAAUUUUAACUAACUAAUUUACUUAAUCAUGGAGUAAAAGAUUGAAAAAUUUUCAAUCAAAUCUUGAUGCAAAAUAAUAGAUAGGAAAUUGAUAAUGUUAUUUGGAUAGUGUCUUGUUGAAGUGGCAUAGCAUCUUUUUCUUUCUCUUUUUCUCUCCUGCUCAAAACUUACAUUUAAUAUGAAGUUAAAUCAUUUUGCAAGGGUAGGAUGAAGAAUUGGCUCAUACAAUUGAAGUCCAUGUAACAAGACCAAGCUCUAAAAUAGAGCUGAAAGCACCCACAAUCAUUUACAUUAUUACUCAACUUUUAGAUAAUAAGAAACCUCUCAAAGGUUCAUUAUAUGAUUAUAUCCUUUUUUUAGCAUGUUGUUGUUUACUAGAUUUUUUUUAUUUAAUAAACUUAUUAUAUAUGAUUUUGAAUUUGUUGAUAU